ensembl:lincRNA
AUGUGCAGGGGACCAAGGAGGGGUUUGGAGGAGGGGGAAGACAGGUGGGGGAGGGGAGGCCCCGGCCCAGCGGCCUCUGUGGUCAAAGGGGGGAUGCCCCCCCCAUCCUGUCCUGGGCAGCUGCUGUCCUGGUCACAGGGUCUGAAACCGGAGCCCCCGAGUGGGGGUGGGGCGGCAGCUCUGGCCUGGAAAGGGGGCGGGUCCUGUACCGGGUGGGAGUUGGGGAACACAGGGGUCCCCGGAACCCAGGCCCUUCCGGUCCGGCAGCUCCUGCUGCGACUUGCAGCGUUUGGGGAAAGUUACUCACCAACCAGUCAUGCGCCUCGGAUGCCGCCGGCCACGGGGCUCCCGGAGGGGGGUCCGACACCGCCCGGUGCCCGGGAUCCCCAAUCUGGCCGGUGGAUGAGGCCCCAUCCCAUGCACCCCAGUCCGGAGAACGGGGGGUUACUAUUAAUUCAGGAUUCCAUCCCCACCCGAGGCAGGAGGACACCCAGUGCGUGCCCCAACUCCGGGAUGCGUGCCCUGCCCCUGGAACUUCCGAGAUUCCCGCGACGCCCCCUGUCUCUGGGUCAAGAACUUCGGGGGACACCUCUUCUGCCUCCUCCAACCCCAGGUCCUGGAUGCCAGCCUCUGGGUCUUAUCGCUGAAAUCUCAGGCCUCCAACAACAGGGAAACAUCUGCUUUCCGGAGUGCAAGGAUCUUCCAGCCAGGAGGGAGGUCACAGGGAAGGAUGAUCACUGAAACAAAGAGAAAGGGUCACACGUUGGGCGCUGACUACAUCAACAGGGGAGACACUGGCCGGGUGCGGUGGCUCACUCCUCUAAUCCCAGCACUUUGAGAGGCCGAGGCGGGUGGAUCAUUUGAGGUCAGGAGUUUGAGACCAACCUGGGCAACAUGGUGAAACCCCAUCUCUACUAAAAAUACGAAAAAAAUUAGCCAGGCAUUGUGGCGUACACCUGUAAUCCUAGCUACUCAGGAGGCUGAGUCAGGAGAAUCACUUGAACCUGGGAGGCAGAGGUUUCAGUGAGCCAAGAUUGUGCCACUGCACUUCAGCCUGGGUGACAGAGUGAGACUCCACCUCAGAAAAAUAAAAACACACAGCCGGGCGCGGUGGCUCAAGCCUGUAAUCCCAGCACUUUGGGAGGUCGAGGCAGGCGAAUCAUGAGGUCAGGAGAUCGAGACCAUCCUGGCUAACAUAGUGAAACCCCGUCUGUACUAAAAAUACAAAAAGAAACUAGCUGGGCACGGUGGUGGGCGCCUGUAGUCCCAGCUACUCGGGAAGCUGACGGGAGGCUGAGGCAGGAGAAUGGCAUGAACCCGGGAGGCGAAGCUUGCAGUGAGCAGCAAUGGCGCCACAGCACUCCAGCAUGGGUGACAGAGCGAGACUCCCGUCACAAAAAUAAAUACAUAAAUAAAUAAAUAGAAAAUAAAAACACACAAACAAAAAUUAGCCAGGCGUGGUGGCACACAUCUGUAGUCCCAACUACUGGGGAGGCUGAAACAGGACAAUUGCUUGAGCCCAGGAGGUCGAGGCUGCAGUGAGCUCAGAAUGCACUGCUGCACUCUAACCUGGGGACAGAGCGAGACCUGUCUUGAAAAACAACAAAGACACAUAUCCCAAAGUCAAUGGGGACCAGAGGGCCAGAGUCUGGGGAAGGGUGUCAGUACUCCCAUAUCUUGGGGUCCCUCCUCACACCUUGGGGUCCCUCAGGCUUUGGCAGCCAUCCUGGGAUCCAGGAGGAGUGUCACUGCUGGUGGCCGGGCCAAGCCCUUGGUGGGUAACCCCAUUGUUCUGGGGGGUACCAUCCAGGUAGGUCAUGACCAGGGCUGAGGGGUACCCGCAGGACCCAUCCAGGUAGCAGGUGCUCAGGAGUUGGCUGUUAACAUCAUUAGGGAUGUGGGGAGGUGGGGUCUCUCUCAGGAACUUCCGUGUCCAGAUCUGGAUGAGACUCAUCUAGAAGCGAGAUGGCCAGCCCCCAAGUGGCUGCUCUCCAAGGUCUAUAUGUCUGUGUUUCUUUCUGCUUCUUACUCUCCUGAUCUGCAGCCAACACUUUUGGAGGCUGAGGCAGAAGGAUCACUUGAGGCCAGGAGCUUGAGACCAGCCUGAGCAACAUAGCGAGACCCUAUAUCUACAAAAUAUAAAAAGAUUAGCUGGGCAUGACAGUGUACACCAGUGGUCCCAGCUACUCAGGAGGUUGAGGUGGGAGGUUGGCUUGAGCCUGGGAGGUCAAGGCUGCAGUGAGCCGUGAUGGCGCCACUGUAUUCCAGUCUGGAUGACAGAGUGAGACCCUAUCUCAAAAAAAAAAAGAGGUGAAUGGCACUGGUGGGGGGCUGGGAGGGGUGUGGGAAAUAGGUGUAUGUUUCCUAAUGGAUUCAGAGUUCCAUAUUUUCUGUUCUUUUCUUUUCUUUUCUUUUCUUUUUUUGAGAUGGAGUCUCACUGUGUCGCCCAGGCUGGAGUGCAAUGGAAUGACCUCAGCUCACUGCAACCUCCGCCUCGCAGGUUCAAGCAAUUCUCCUGCCUCAGUCUCCUAAGUAGCUGGGAUUGCAGGCAUGCGCCAUCACGCCCACCUAAUUUUUUUUUUUUUUUUUUUUUUGAGAGAGUCUUGCUCUGUCACCCAGGCUGCAGUGCAGUGGUGCAAUCUCAGCUCACUGUAACCUCUGCUUCCUGUAUUCAAGCGUUUCUCCUGACUCAGCCUCCCUAGUAGAUGGGAUUACAGGCAUCUGCCACCAUGCCCAGCUAUUUUAUUUUAUUUAUGUAUUUUUUUGUAAUUUUAGUAGAGAUGGAUUUUUACCAUGUUGCUCAGGCUGGUCUUGAACUCCUGACCUCGUGAUAUGCCCGCCUCGGCCUUCCAAAGUGCUGGGAUUACAGGCGUGAGCCACCACGCCCCGCCAAUUUUGUACUUUUAGUAGAGACAGGGUUUCACUAUGUUGGCCAGGCUGGUCUCGAACGCCAGACCUCAAGUAAUCUGUCUGCCUCAGUCUUCUAAAGUGCUGGGAUUACAGGCAUGAGCCACCGUGCGGGCCUCUUUUCUGAUUCUCCAAAUAAUGUGUGCUCAUUGUAAAAACAGUUUUAGAAAGCACAGACAUGUGUAAUGUAAAUAAUCUAAAUCGGUCCCUUGUCAUAGCGUUUAAUUUCCUUUAUGAAUUUUUAAUACCUAUUUACUUUAUGCCUGGUGCUUAUUGGUAAAUUUUAAAAUGCUGGCACAGAAAACAAACUAAGCAAACAAGUUCAGAUGCCAUCCUUGCCCUUGGCCCUAGCUGACAUGGACCAGGUGCUCUGUAAAUAUCUGUUGAGUGAACGAAAUUUUAAAAAUAAAAUCAAUGCCCAGAAAUAACUGUUACUAACACGAUGGUCUAUUUCCAUCUAGAUUUUUUUCUUUCUUUCUUUUUUUUCUUAGCCCAAAUGGAAUUAUACUAUACACAUGAUUUGUCAGUCAAGGCCAAAUUCCAGUGUACAUUCUUGAGUUUAGAGACUUCAGCAUUACUUACCUUGAAGUUUUUCUAUGGUUUGUUAAACAGAUCUCCUAUGGUUGGACAUCUAGGUCACUCUCUGGGGACAGCCUAACAAAUAGAAUAACACAUUUUCUUUCUUUUUUUUUUUUUUCUGAGACAGAGUCUCACUCUGUCGCCCAGGCUGGAGUGCAGGGGCGCAAUCUCGGCUCACUGCAACUUUCACUUCCUGGGUUCAAGUGAUUCUCCUGCCUCAGCCAUAGCUGGGACUACAGGCGCCCACCACCACGGUCGGCUAAGUUUUUUUUUUUUUUUUUUUUCUUUUGAGACGGAGUCUCGCUCUGUCUCCCAGGCUGGAGUGCAGUGGCGUG